rnacentral:rRNA from 1 species
GCGGACGGGUGAGUAAUGCUUAGGAAUCUGCCUAUUAGUGGGGGACAACAUUCCGAAAGGAAUGCUAAUACCGCAUACGUCCUACGGGAGAAAGCAGGGGAUCUUCGGACCUUGCGCUAAUAGAUGAGCCUAAGUCGGAUUAGCUAGUUGGUGGGGUAAAGGCCUACCAAGGCGACGAUCUGUAGCGGGUCUGAGAGGAUGAUCCGCCACACUGGGACUGAGACACGGCCCAGACUCCUACGGGAGGCAGCAGUGGGGAAUAUUGGACAAUGGGGGGAACCCUGAUCCAGCCAUGCCGCGUGUGUGAAGAAGGCCUUAUGGUUGUAAAGCACUUUAAGCGAGGAGGAGGCUACUGAGACUAAUACUCUUGGAUAGUGGACGUUACUCGCAGAAUAAGCACCGGCUAACUCUGUGCCAGCAGCCGCGGUAAUACAGAGGGUGCGAGCGUUAAUCGGAUUUACUGGGCGUAAAGCGUGCGUAGGCGGCUUUUUAAGUCGGAUGUGAAAUCCCCGAGCUUAACUUGGGAAUUGCAUUCGAUACUGGGAAGCUAGAGUAUGGGAGAGGAUGGUAGAAUUCCAGGUGUAGCGGUGAAAUGCGUAGAGAUCUGGAGGAAUACCGAUGGCGAAGGCAGCCAUCUGGCCUAAUACUGACGCUGAGGUACGAAAGCAUGGGGAGCAAACAGGAUUAGAUACCCUGGUAGUCCAUGCCGUAAACGAUGUCUACUAGCCGUUGGGGCCUUUGAGGCUUUAGUGGCGCAGCUAACGCGAUAAGUAGACCGCCUGGGGAGUACGGUCGCAAGACUAAAACUCAAAUGAAUUGACGGGGGCCCGCACAAGCGGUG